AUAUAAAGAGUUUGAUCCUGGCUCAGAAUGAAUGCUUUUGGUUGAUUUAACACAUGCAAGUUAGUAAUUUAAUUUAUUAGCGUACGGGUGAGUAAUAUAUAAAAAUAAAUUAGUAUUUUUAACUAAACAGUUUAUAUAAGAUUAAGUAUUAAUUUACAUUAAAAAGAAAUUAGCUUAUGAUCUUUAGUUGAUCUUUGAGGAUGAUUAACCACAUUGGAAUUGAAAAACGGUCCAGACUAUAUAAGGCAGCAGUGAAGAAUAUUGGGCAAUGAGCGUAAGCUUGACCCAGUUAAACCAAAUAUGUGAAGAAGAUUUUUUAUUGUAAAACAUUAAUUACUAAAAAAAUAUUGAUUUUUAUUAAUUUAGUCCUGGCUAAUUUCGUGCCAGCAGCCGCGGUAAAACGAGAAGGGCAAGUGUUAUUCAAAUUUAUUGGGCGUAAAGAAUUAUUAGGUUGUGAAUGAAUGAAAAAAUUUUAAUUACAAAUUAAAUUUUAUGUUAAAAUAUUAAUUAUUAAUUAAAUUCACUUGAGUUUAAAUAAAAGAUUCUAGAAUUUUAAGUGUAACAGUAAAAUGUGUUGAUAUUUAAAAGAAUUUCAAAAGUUAAUGCAAUAAUCUAAUUUAAUCUGACACUUUUUAAUUAAAGUAUAGGUAGCAAAAGGGAUUAGAUACCCCUGUAGUCUAUACCCUGAAUUAUGAAUGUUGCUUUAUAAUGAAAUUUAUAAAGUUAAGCUAACGUUAAACAUUUCGCCUGGGAACUACGAUCGCAAGUUUAAAACUCAAAGGAAUUGACGGGAAUUCAAACAAGCAGUGGAGCAUGUGGUUUAAAUCGAUAAUACGCGCGAAACCUUACCAAUUUUUGUAUUUCAGGUGUUGCAUGGCUGUCGUCAGUCCGUGCUUUGAAGUGUUUGGUUUAUUCCAACAAACGGACGAAACUUUUCUAUAUAAAUUUUUAUAUAUAAUAUUAAGGACAUCUUAAUAGAAUGAAAAUGACGUCAAGUCCUCAUGACCCUUAUGGAUUGGGCUACUCUCAUGUGCUACAUUAAUUUUUACAAAAAUUAGUAAUAAAGAAAUUUUUUACAAAAUAAAAAAAAUUUAACGAAUUAUUUUCUGAAACUCGAAAAUAUGAAGUUGGAAUUGCUAGUAAUCGUUAAUUAGAACGUAACGGUGAAUAAGUUCUUGAAUUUUGUACACACCGCCCGUCACGCUAUGGGAAUCAACUUUACUUGAAAAAUUUAAAAAUUUUAAAGUAAAAAGAAGACUGGAGUGAAGUCGUAACAAGGUAGCCGUAGGGGAACCUGUGGCUGGAAUAAAAAA
rnacentral:ncRNA from 1 species